CAACAACAACAACAAAACACCCACAAAAAAAAGCAAAAAAAACCCCACCAACCUGAAGGCACAUUUGCUUUUCUCUCUUGCAGGGAAAUAUUCCCACACCCAUCCCUUGCCAGUUGCAACAUCCCAUGACAGCUCGGUGUCAGUGUCUAAGAAAGCCUACAAAGUAUCACUCCCUGUUUUAAAAAAUCAGAGGUGUGAUACCACUUAUAAGAAGGAAAGCUGGAUUUAGAUUUUGCUGUUCCUCCAGUGACUAUACCAAGAUGACAAUGUAAUUUGAUUUGUUUAAGAACAUGUAUCAACAGAGAUGAUGGAGUCACACACUCUACAGAAUUUUCGAUGUAAACUGAUGUGCAUGCAUCAGAGAAGAUACGAAGUGCAGCAAAACAAUUGUUGACUGAUGAAAAUGUAGUCUGUUUCAAUUUGAUCCAUUUAAAGCUGUUUAUGUCAUGUCAUUCAUCCUUUCCCUGACAAAUUAAAAUAAAAAUC